rnacentral:rRNA from 1 species
GAUGAACGCUGGCGGCGUGCCUAAUACAUGCAAGUCAAGCGAACGGACGAGAAGCUUGCUUCUCUGAUGUUAGCGGCGGACGGGUGAGUAACACGUGGAUAACCUACCUAUAAGACUGGGAUAACUUCGGGAAACCGGAGCUAAUACCGGAUAAUAUUUUGAACCGCAUGGUUCAAAAGUGAAAGACGGUCUUGCUGUCACUUAUAGACGGAUCCGCGCUGCAUUAGCUAGUUGGUAAGGUAACGGCUUACCAAGGCAACGAUGCAUAGCCGACCUGAGAGGGUGAUCGGCUACACUGGAACUGAGACACGGUCCAGACUCCUACGGGAGGCAGCAGUAGGGAAUCUUCCGCAAUGGGCGAAAGCCUGACGGAGCAACGCCGCGUGAGUGAUGAAGGUCUUCGGAUCGUAAAACUCUGUUAUUAGGGAAGAACAUAUGUGUAAGUAACUGUGCACAUCUUGACGGUACCUAAUCAGAAAGCCACGGCUAACUACGUG